GCUCUCUGUGAGGACCAUGGUGUUAAUGAAGGAGUAAUCCUCGGCGGGAUUUGAACCUAGGGCCUCACAAGUGUUAGGCAGCAGUGUAAGUUCUGAUUUGCAACUGAGAGAAGGAGCACAAAUCUGUAUAAAGACACUACUGGGCCAGAGAUAUUGCUCAGCAGCACAAGAGCCUGCCUGGCAAGCACAAGGUCCUAAGUUCAAUUCCUGAUACCACAAAAAAAAAAAGGUUUCUAGGCGCUGGGAGGCCCAGGGGACGGGCGGGGC
rnacentral:lncRNA from 1 species